GCCCUCUUUCUCCUCUCCACUCCCCGUCGUGUUUUCUGGGGUCUUCUUUGUCCGACCAUAUCUUCCUCCACAGGCCUCCAAUCGACUUGAUUCCAAAAGCAAUUUUUCUCGCCUUGACGUUGUCCAUAACUUCUCUAAAGACAUCGGGGUGAAAAACGAACUGUGGAGGGCGCUGCAAGGCCGAGAAGCCGCACAGCUCGAGCUGGAAAUCGCCUCCCUUCACCGGCCGAUUUCUUUCGAUUCCGGCCACAAACCUUCGUCCAUUGGAAGCGGCUUGAGACGUAGAUGAUGCUCCCCAAGUAUUACACAGCGACUUGAAGCGUGGAGGAAGAAUCGAUGGGAUGAAUUUCUGGGUCACUAUUCACAAAUCGGGUUCAAACUUCUCCUUAAUUGUUGAGGGCGACGUACCGAGCUCUUGCUCGAUGAAGGAACUUGUAUACGUGAUCGUCAGAAUAGUACUUUUGCAGGCGAAAUUAGUUGAGGUCGGGCAUACAUGGAAUUGAGGCAUAGUCAACAGUAUGGCUUCCACGUUUUCCCUGAAUUAGGUUUUCCUUGUUUACCC